rnacentral:rRNA from 1 species
GUAGGUGGCAAGCGUUGUCCGGAUUUAUUUGGCGUAAAGCGAGCGCAGGCGGUUUCUUAAGUCUGAUGUGAAAGCCCCCGGCUCAACCGGGGAGGGUCAUUGGAAACUGGGAGACUUGAGUGCAGAAGAGGAGAGUGGAAUUCCAUGUGUAGCGGUGAAAUGCGUAGAUAUAUGGAGGAACACCAGUGGCGAAGGCGGCUCUCUGGUCUGUAACUGACGCUGAGGCUCGAAAGCGUGGGGAGCGAACAGGAUUAGAUACCCUGGUAGUCCACGCCGUAAACGAUGAGUGCUAAGUGUUGGAGGGUUUCCGCCCUUCAGUGCUGCAGCAAACGCAUUAAGCACUCCGCCUGGGGAGUACGACCGCAAGGUUG